rnacentral:rRNA from 1 species
UUCGAGUGGCGGACGGGUGAGUAACGCGUGGGUAACCUGCCUUACACAGGGGGAUAACACCUGGAAACAGGUGCUAGUACCGCAUAAGCGCACAGGGCCGCAUGGCCCGGUGUGAAAAACUCCGGUGGUGUAAGAUGGACCCGCGUCUGAUUAGCUUGUUGGCGGGGUAGGGGCCCACCAAGGCGACGAUCAGUAGCCGGCCUGAGAGGGUGGACGGCCACAUUGGGACUGAGACACGGCCCAAACUCCUACGGAAGGCAGCAG